GGUAGGGUGCGAGCGUUAUCCGGAAUUAGUUGGGCGUAAAGAGCUCGUAGGCGGUUUGUCGCGUCUGUCGUGAAAGUCCGGGGCUUAACCCCGGAUCUGCGGUGGGUACGGGCAGACUGGAGUGCAGUAGGGGAGACUGGAAUUCCUGGUGUAGCGGUGGAAUGCGCAGAUAUCAGGAGGAACACCGAUGGCGAAGGCAGGUCUCUGGGCUGUAACUGACGCUGAGGAGCGAAAGCAUGGGGAGCGAACAGGAUUAGAUACCCUGGUAGUCCAUGCCGUAAACGUUGGGCACUAGGUGUGGGGACCAUUCCACGGUUUCCGCGCCGCAGCUAACGCAUUAAGUGCCCCGCCUGGGGAGUACGGCCGCAAGGCUA
rnacentral:rRNA from 1 species